UAAAAAAAGGUAAGCUACUAAGAGCGAAUGGUGGAUGCCUUGACUGGUAAAGGCGAUGAAGGACGUACUAGACUGCGAUAAGCUACGGGGAGCUGUCAAGAAGCUUUGAUCCGUAGAUUUCCGAAUGGGGCAACCCAAUGUAUAGAGAUAUACAUUACCUAUAUAGGAGCGAACGAGGGGAAUUGAAACAUCUUAGUACCCUCAGGAAAAGAAAUCAAUAGAGAUUGCGUCAGUAGCGGCGAGCGAAAGCGCAAGAGGGCAAACCCAGUGCUUGCACUGGGGGUUGUAGGACUGCAAUGUGCAAGAGCUGAGUUUAGCAGAACAUUCUGGAAAGUAUAACCAUAGAGGGUGAUAGUCCCGUAUGCGAAAAACAAACCUUAGCUAGCAGUAUCCUGAGUAGGGCGGGACACGAGGAAUCCUGUCUGAAUCCGGGUCGACCACGAUCCAACCCUAAAUACUAAUACCAGAUCGAUAGUGCACAAGUACCGUGAGGGAAAGGUGAAAAGAACUGAGGUGAUCAGAGUGAAAUAGAACCUGAAACCAUUUGCUUACAAUCAUUCAGAGCACUAUGUAGCAAUACAGUGUGAUGGACUGCCUUUUGCAUAAUGAGCCUGCGAGUUGUGGUGUCUGGCAAGGUUAAGCAAACGCGAAGCCGUAGCGAAAGCGAGUCUGAAUAGGGCGCUUAGUCAGAUGCUGCAGACCCGAAACGAAGUGAUCUAUCCAUGAGCAAGUUGAAGCUAGUGUAAGAACUAGUGGAGGACUGAACCCAUAGGCGUUGAAAAGCCCCGGGAUGACUUGUGGAUAGGGGUGAAAGGCCAAUCAAACUUCGUGAUAGCUGGUUCUCUCCGAAAUAUAUUUAGGUAUAGCGUUGUGUCGUAAUAUAAGGGGGUAGAGCACUGAAUGGGCUAGGGCAUACACCAAUGUACCAAACCCUAUCAAACUCCGAAUACCUUAUAUGUAAUCACAGCAGUCAGGCGGCGAGUGAUAAAAUCCGUCGUCAAGAGGGAAACAACCCAGACUACCAGCUAAGGUCCCUAAAUCUUACUUAAGUGGAAAACGAUGUGAAGUUACUUAAACAACCAGGAGGUUGGCUUAGAAGCAGCCAUCCUUUAAAGAAAGCGUAAUAGCUCACUGGUCUAGUGAUUUUGCGCGGAAAAUA
rnacentral:rRNA from 1 species